rnacentral:rRNA from 1 species
CUCUUAAAAUAUUUUAAGUAAGCUCUGCCCUAUGAUUUAUUAAAUGGCCGCAGUACCUUGACUGUGCAAAGGUAGCAUAAUCAUUUGUUUUUUUAUUGAAAACUAGAAUGAAAGAGUCGACGAAAAAUAGCCUUUUGAUUUAUAAAAUUAAAUUGACAUAAAGGUCAAAAGGCCUUAAAAAACCAGAAAGACGACAAGACCCUAUAAAACUUUACUAUUAUUAAAACAAAAUAGUUGAACUGGGGCGGUUGAUACAAAAACUGUAUAAUAAAAAAUAUAAAAUAUAAAUUUCAAGAACUUAAUAAAUAAAAAAUAUUGAACAAGUUACUUUAGGGAUAACAGCAUAAUUUUCUUAGAGAGCCCAAAUCGACGAGAAAGCUUAUGACCUCGAUGUUGAAUUGAAA